CUGGUAAAAAGGUGAAAACUUUUUUUACCCCAAAACUCUGUGCAAUGGAGCACACGGCUUAUGCAUCGAUGAAGCCCGCGGCAAAAAGCGAUAUGUAAUGAGAUUCGUUAGCCUCGCGAUUCAUCAAAUUGGUGAACACAUACUGGACCUCUUCGGAGGUACUUGCGUUAGAGUGCUAGUUUUCUAUCAAUUGAUCCUGGUAAAAGGUGUUUGAAUCAUUAGGUUCUUACGCCCUAGCCGGUGUAGCCGGUUUCUCUUUGAGAAAUCGGAUUGUCCUUGGUAAACAUUUCAGUGUGUUGGGUAGGGUCUCCUUUCGUGAGUUCUAUCACAUUACUGAUUGUCCCAAGUCAAUCCAUUCUUAUUGAACUGGCCUCUAAUGUGAGGGGUACCCCUUGGAUUUAAAGCAUACU
rnacentral:sRNA from 1 species